CGGAAAGCAUGCAAACAGCUGACAGUAUUUGUUUUUGUAAAUCUCGUUUUGAAUAAAAAUUUCGAUGUGAGAUGGAGCAAAUAAAUGAAGAUAUAUGGAUAAAUAUACUAAAGUACCUGCCGAUGUGCGAUCAGUUCUCGCUGGUCCAAGUCAACGAGAAUAUAUGCUCCUACGUGAAGUAUCAAUGGGGUCACCUCAAAACAGUGACCCUGUACCGCAGGGAUCUGGAAUUUCUGGACCGGAAUAGGAAACUGAUGCAGGAAUGUCUGGGCGGCUGGUCAGCAACGGUGGAGCAUCUGCAUCUGCCAAGUGCCAGCAGUGAUUUGCUUAGGAAGUGGACCGAGUACAGCUUUCCCCACCUCCGAUCGCUGGUCUGCCACAUGGACUACAAUCUCGAGGAGGCGGACGAGGAGACCCUUCUGCUGACCAAGUUGUUUCCGCUCCUGACCAGACUGUCACUCACUAGCAGCACCACAGGUCGUCAUUUGUGGCACUGGAGGCAUCUGAAGGAGCUGAAUCUCACCUGGUGUGAGUAUCUGGACCCGGAUCACUUCCAGGAGAUCUUUGGCAGCCUGCAGCUGACCAAGCUUACUAUGCUCUACUACGGAUACAAUGUGAACCUGGGCGAGAAGGUUGUGGAUAUUGCGCGGUGUACCACGCUUGAGGAGCUGCAUCUCGACGAUCACCAUUUGCUGGGCGAUUUCCUGCCCCGACUGAUGAAUCUGCCGCACUUCCGCCGCUUGGCCUUUUACACGCGGGACUACUAUGAGUUCUUGCUCAGUUCGGUGGUCAGGCACAAGCCGCUGAAGGUGCAGUCGCUUCUAUUCAACGAUUCCUUCUGGAGCAGUGAACGGGUGGCGGAAAGUAUGCUGCAUAUGACCAAUCUACGUCGGCUGGUCCUGCAGGAGGAUGACAUCGACUCGCAGCAGCUGCACAGCAUCUGCCACAAGUUGCCAAAUUUGGAAGAGCUGCACCUUUUGGCGAUGCGCGAAGUUCCCUCUCCCAGCCAUCUGUGGAACUCUGUAGGUCACUGCCACCUGCUUAAGAUCCUCAAUCUAUCUUCUACUAAGCUGAGCAGCCAGUCGGUGGAUCUCAAAAACCCCUGCCUCUCAAAAGUUUUGCUCAAUCGCAGGAUUCCGCUGACCCUGCAUCUCCACAACACUGGAUUGGAUCCCAGUAAAGUUCUGCGGGAUUGCGAUUGUGCUUCUCUAAGAAUCUCCUUUGAGCCCAUCCACUUGAAUAUUUGGAGUUCCCGGUUUGUGGAAAUCGAAUUCAGUCCAGACUUGUAGUAGUUUUCUAAAAACAACUAAAACUACAUUCCUACCUCAAUAGAAAUUGACGUAUAUAGGCUGUAUCAAUGCAACUGGUGAUGGAGAUUCAGAUUAAACAUUCUGACUAAAGUAUCAUACCCUUUGCAAGGGUAUAUACUCAAACAGCUGAACAAAACAGAUAGCAUUUAAUUCAAAAAUUAACAACAAUUGGCUGCUAAGAUUUCAAAAGAACAAUGUCUAAGAACGAUAAGUAUUUAUCUUUAUUGGAGCAAGAGCACCAACCUUUGUUUAUCUGAAAAAGCUAAAUGGAUGGCAAACAUUUUACCUCAAUGCAGUUGUGCUUUAAAACUUCUUAGGUACGGAUACCAUUGGCAAUGGAUCGGACAUACAUAUGUGGAUGAAUUCAAACAAAAAAUGCGGCGGCUUCUGAAUUGCGCACCGAGUGAUACCAAAGACAGUAGAAUAUUAUAAUGUCUUUGAUCGGUUUGACUUUCCCUCUCGGAUUCCAUUGAUCUACACAUGAAGGUUAUAUACUUAAAAUAUCCCAUCAAUGAGGCGAUGGACGGAGGAGAUUACUUCUAAAUCUGUAACCCCAAAUAAAAAAUGUUAUUUUUACAUCCAUUCCAUCUAAGUCCAUUACAUGAAUAUCCCAUUCAAGAAGGACACCAGUAAAUUCAAAGUAAAUUACACAUAUACGAUUUAUUUGUCGAAUAUCAAUGCUCCAAUUGGUUUUGUAUAUCUUAGGCGACUGGACUGCUUAACACCUUAGUGCUUUGUGCCUGUCGAAAUCUUCUCCGGCGCUUUUCCAGGAGAAAAAUACAACAAUCAAAACAAAUGUGCGCUAAGAUUUCGCUCCCGGUAGGACUGGUUUUCGAGUCGUUAUUACAAUAAAUAUAAAAAUAUAUCGAUUAAGUGUAAGGAUUUUUUGCAAAAUCGUUUAUUGGAUUUAACAAAUUAAUGGGUAAAACAAAAAGGUUAUAUAAGGAGAAUGCUUAAGAGCUACGGAGUAGGAAGCCACAAGUGGAGGACACGAACAUUUACAAAAAGAGCCAGCUAAAAAGCCGGUUUGGAAAAGAUAUAUAAUUGGGAAGUAAGCUGGAACUCCCUUCCAGACACCCUUCCGCACUUGUACAAAAAUUGGUUUAAAUUGAAUAUCAAAAUCAACUCGACGGCUUACUAACUAAUUUCAUCUACGCACGAUUUGCUUUUUGUUUUGCUUAGUAAAUGUCAAUAGCUUCAGUCUAAAGUUAGGAUUUGGUUGACUUUUGUUUUAGGCUUUUUUGUUUUGCUUGAAGAGGAUAUCAUUGGUUCUACUUGUCACGUUGUUGUUCCAUCGGGCGGGAAUUUAACUACAAUAGUAAUGAUAUUGCAAAAUUGAUUUAGUGGUUCGCACAUAGACUAUAUGGUAAACAUUUUAACAUAUGCAGGCUUGCAUACACAUAUAUGCAUUAGUUUUCGAUAAAAUGCAAGACUCAAACAGUGCGUUUUUAGUUUUCUUGUGUGUUUAUAAACUCAUCAAAAAGUAUUGGCUGUCAUUCACUCGUCUGGUACACGACGUGCAAUAAGAUCUGUCAAUUUUCUUUUUUUUAAGGUUUGAAUUACUCUAGCGGAUAUGUGUGGGGUUUGCUUAAAACACACUGUUUGUAUCAGGCCGUGUUAUAUUAACAAACAAACAACUACAAAUG